GACGAACGCUGGCGGCGUGCUUAACACAUGCAAGUCGAACGGAAAGGCCCUGCUUUUGUGGGGUGCUCGAGUGGCGAACGGGUGAGUAACACGUGAGUAACCUGCCCUUGACUUUGGGAUAACUUCAGGAAACUGGGGCUAAUACCGGAUAGGAGCUCCUGCUGCAUGGUGGGGGUUGGAAAGUUUCGGCGGUUGGGGAUGGACUCGCGGCUUAUCAGCUUGUUGGUGGGGUAGUGGCUUACCAAGGCUUUGACGGGUAGCCGGCCUGAGAGGGUGACCGGCCACAUGGGGACUGAGAUACGGCACAGACUCUCACGGGAGGCAGCGGGGGGGAGUAGUGGACGAUGGGCGGAAGCCUGAUGCAGCGACGCCGCGGGCGGGAGGACGGCGUUCGGGUAGGGGACCGCGUUCGCCUGUGACGAAGCGUGGGUGACGGUAAUGGGGAGAGAAGCAACGGCUAACUGCGU
rnacentral:rRNA from 1 species